UGUCGUGUCAUAUUUUAACUUUUAUGCCGUUUCUAUGCUCAGAUAUGCUUUUCGCACUAAAAAUGAAAAACCGUUAAAGGUCAUGAAGUUGAGAAAAGAGAUUUCGUUCGCUAAUAUAACUUUUCAUGAACAUGGUAGAAGUCAUCUGAACGUAACUGGGUACAGUAACGUGAAGACACGCGAAUUAACGAACGAAACAAAUCAAUAUGCAUCAAAAUGUCCGCUAUGCAAAUUGAUAUUGCCACAGAUCCGGAACCUUGUGAGAGAUAUAAAUAUAAUAAACAUAAAAGAUAUU